ACGCCGCGUGAGUGAUGAAGGUUUUCGGAUCGUAAAGCUCUGUUGUUAGGGAAGAACAAGUGCGAGAGUAACUGCUCGCACCUUGACGGUACCUAACCAGAAAGCCACGGCUAACUACGUGCCAGCAGCCGCGGUAAUACGUAGGUGGCAAGCGUUGUCCGGAAUUAUUGGGCGUAAAGGGCUCGCAGGCGGUUUCUUAAGUCUGAUGUGAAAGCCCCCGGCUCAACCGGGGAGGGUCAUUGGAAACUGGGAAACUUGAGUGCAGAAGAGGAGAGUGGAAUUCCACGUGUAGCGGUGAAAUGCGUAGAGAUGUGGAGGAACACCAGUGGCGAAGGCGACUCUCUGGUCUGUAACUGACGCUGAGGAGCGAAAGCGUGGGGAGCGAACAGGAUUAGAUACCCUGGUAGUCCACGCCGUAAACGAUGAGUGCUAAGUGUUAGGGGGUUUCCGCCCCUUAGUGCUGCAGCUAACGCAUUAAGCACUCCGCCUGGGGAGUACGGUCGCAAGACUGAAACUCAAAGGAAUUGACGGGGGCCCGCACAAGCGGUGGAGCAUGUGGUUUAAUUCGAAGCAACGCGAAGAACCUUACCAGGUCUUGACAUCCUCUGACAACCCUAGAGAUAGGGCUUUCCCUUCGGGGACAGAGUGACAGGUGGUGCAUGGUUGUCGUCAGCUCGUGUCGUGAGAUGU
rnacentral:rRNA from 1 species